ensembl:lncRNA
GCCUCCACAUUGACUCGGUAGCGGUACCCCCUGUAUAUAGCCUCCACAUUGACUCGGUAGCGGUACCCCCUGUAUAUAGCCUCCACAUUGACUCGGUAGCGGUACCCCCUGUUUAUAGCCUCCACAUUGACUCGGUAGCGGUACCCCCUGUUUAUAGCCUCCACAUUGACUCGGUAGCGGUACCCCCUGUAUAUAGCCUCCACAUUGACUCUGUACCGGUACCCCCUGUAUAUAGCCUCCACAUUGACUCUACAGGUACCCCCUGUAUAUAGCCUCCACAUUGACUCGGUAGCGGUACCCCCUGUAUAUAGCCUCCACAUUGACUCCACAGGUACCCCCUGUAUAUAGCCUCCACAUUGACUCGGUAGCGGUACCCCCUGUAUAUAGCCUCCACAUUGACUCUGUACCGGUACCCC